rnacentral:rRNA from 1 species
AUUGAACGCUGGCGGCAGGCCUAACACAUGCAAGUCGAGCGGAUGAAGAGAGCUUGCUCUCUGAUUCAGCGGCGGACGGGUGAGUAAUGCCUAGGAAUCUGCCUGGUAGCGGGGGACAACGUAUCGAAAGGAACGCUAAUACCGCAUACGUCCUACGGGAGAAAGUGGGGGAUCUUCGGACCUCACGCUAUCAGAUGAGCCUAGGUACGAUUAGCUAGUUGGUGAGGUAAGGGCUCACCAAGGCGACGAUCGGUAACUGGUCUGAGAGCAUGAUCAGUCACACUGGAACUGAGACACGGUCCAGACGCCUGCGGGAGGCAGCAGGGGGGAAUAUUGGACAAUGGGCGAAAGGCUGAUCCAGCCAUGCCGCGUGUGUGAAGAAGGUCUUCGGAUUGUAAAGCACUUUAAGUUGGGAGGAAGGGCAGUAAGUUAAUACCUUGCUGUUUUGACGUUACCGACAGAAUAAGCACCGGCUAACUUCGUGCCAGCCGCCGCGGUAACAC